CAUAUGGCAAAUGUGAAGAAAGUGUGUGUGUGUGUAGGCUUGGUGUGUGAGGAUGAAAGCAGAAGAAGAAGAAGAAGAAGAAGAAAGAGGGAUGGAGAAGGAAGAGGUAGCAGCAUAAGAGGGGGAGUAAACCUCCCAUAGCCCAGAAAUCCUUGUGCUGUUAUGUAACCGUGUCUGCAAAUGGUGGGAGGCGGGCUGCCGGGCAGACUUCAGUGACACUAACGCAGGAUGAACAGGGGGGAGAAAGGGGGAGAGGAAACAUCAGCAGGAGAGAGGUAGAGAGUUCUCCUCAACCACGCAAGUCUGGUUAUGACACAACUGCCACAGGUCCACACAUCAAGAAUCUUAGAAACCCACAACCAGGAUUGAUCUACAACCUCUACACUAUAGGCUCAGCAGAACUGUGCUCUCAUGUAUUCACCACCAUUAUAACCCCACAUCGAUUCAGCGUGUCAGAAUAGUUUACAACAUCCUUCUAGACAUGGCCGUCAUAAUGUCUCCACAAAGGUCAUGAGGAGAAUAGAAAUAAACAGGCCCAGCACAGAUUCA